rnacentral:rRNA from 1 species
UAUCGCAGAUCAGCAUGCUGUGGUGAAUACGUUCCCGGGCCUUGUACACACCGCCCGUCACACCAUGGGAGUCGGUAACACCCAAGUUGGUAGUCUAACCGCAAGGAGGACGCCGCCUAAGGUGGGAUUGAUGACUGGGGUGAAGUCGUAACAAGGUAAC